rnacentral:rRNA from 1 species
AUUGAACGCUGGCGGCAUGCCUUACACAUGCAAGUCGAACGGCAGCACGGAGCUUGCUCUGGUGGCGAGUGGCGAACGGGUGAGUAAUAUAUCGGAACGUACCCAAGAGUGGGGGAUAACGUAGCGAAAGUUACGCUAAUACCGCAUACGAUCUAAGGAUGAAAGCGGGGGAUCGCAAGACCUCAUGCUCCUGGAGCGGCCGAUAUCUGAUUAGCUAGUUGGUGAGGUAAAGGCUCACCAAGGCAUCGAUCAGUAGCUGGUCUGAGAGGACGACCAGCCACACUGGAACUGAGACACGGUCCAGACUCCUACGGGAGGCAGCAGUGGGGAAUUUUGGACAAUGGGGGCAACCCUGAUCCAGCAAUGCCGCGUGAGUGAAGAAGGCCUUCGGGUUGUAAAGCUCUUUUGUCAGGGAAGAAACGGUGAAGGCUAAUAUCCUUUGCUAAUGACGGUACCUGAAGAAUAAGCACCGGCUAACUACGUGCCAGCCGCCGCCGUAAAAC